ACCUAGCCCCGAUAGAGGCGGUAUUCUCGUAGUGAAACGAAGAGAUAUAGCCGAAAGCGGGAAACCAU
rnacentral:misc_RNA from 2 species